UAGGUGCAAGGGAGGAAGUAAGUAACAUUAUUGCUUAGUGCAGGCAGUUAUUCUGUGCGUGACUGGUGCGGGGAAUGGGCUGAGGACGUGUAUAAAUUGAUAUAUAUAUAUAUGUUUAUUAAGGAAAAUUAAAGACACAGGAGGAAAAGGUUUGGCCUAGGUCCCUCUGUAUGAAUGAACUCCAGCACACAACCUGUUUAUGGCCCAAACCCAUAUCUGUGCAGAUUAAAGGCACGGAAUAGCGACAGAAAUACCAAAGCUGUAAAAGGGAUCUGGCGCGAGAACAUGUGACUGCUGCUAAAUUAAGGAUAUUUUCCACACCAUGAAGCUUAUACUGAGCUGCGCGGCCGGACUCCCUGCCAGUCUCAUAAGGGGAAUCCCAGCAGUGGCAGCGGCCAGACAAGGGCCACGCAUGUUACAGCAGACGCUGAAUUAGAGUAACCCAGUGCCAUAGCAAAGAUCACAUGAUCUAAUAAAAGCUAAUUAGAUCUCA